rnacentral:miRNA from 1 species
GUGUGAUUUGAAGCAAGGUGAU